GCCUUCGUGGUGUAGUGGUCAGCCCGCUCGACACAUAACCGAGAGGUCCGUGGUUCGAUUCCCGGCGAAGGCG
rfam:Stegodyphus mimosarum contig49632, whole genome shotgun sequence.